AAGAUAGUCCUAUAACAGUUCCUUGUUCCCCUCAAAGAAACAUUUAUUUUGUUUUGAGUUGAUGGGAGGAAGUGAGUACAAACAAUGAAGCUAUUAAAAUGGAUGAUAACAAAAUAUGGAUCCAUAAUCAGACACAUUAUUGAAGUUGGGAAAAAAAGCAAUAUCAUUUUUAGGUCAAGCCUCAAUUUGAGAUUUAUGUCUUACCUUUGAACCUUUGAAUAUUAUAA
rnacentral:misc_RNA from 1 species